UAACUCCUGUCAUUUGUAGAACAAGUAGGGACGCAGUAACUACGCGUCCCUUGAUAGUAUCAGAAGAGGAAGGGACGGCUAACUCUGUGC
rnacentral:rRNA from 1 species